CUCAUCCUGAGCUGCAGGUCAGGUAUCUGUCUGAAGAUCAGAACCAGAACUCAUAAGGUAGCUAAAGUACUCACUACAAACGUCAGACAACAAGGUAACAGAGUUAGAAAGUAAUAAAUAUUAAAUCUAAAUAAAGGAAUUACCUAAACUUAUCAGCCUCCAGUCAGUGAACUGUCAACAAAAUUAACAGAAUAUGAGCUUAAAAUGUGAUAUUUGAUUUAAAUCAUUUUAUUCUACAUUUAAAUUAUCCAGAAAUAAAGUAUUUGCAUCAAAAUGCUGUAAAAAGAAAAUCUCUGACCUCCUGACAAGACAAAUGAUUAUUAUUCAUUUAGACACAAAAAUUAAAACCUGAAACCAGAAGACUCACAUCAGAGGGCUGUGCAGUGAUGUUAGUGAGUCUAAGGCUACUUUAUGAUCAGUUCUGUACGUAGCGGACACAGACUUGACUGAAUGAUGGUUCUGUUACACCUCUGCAACUAACAUGUCAGAAAGAAAACUAGAACACAGAGAAACAAGCAAAGCACUGCAGUAGUAUAGAAUAGUACUGCCUGUGUGUGGGUGUUUACAGGUGACCCUACUGUAUGUUUACAAUCUAAAUUUGUGCAACAAUUUGCAGUUAAUAUUCCAAUGUCAAUAUUUGCUGUCAAACAUCAAAUUUAUGCACUGGAAAUAUCUUUAUUUCAUUUUGGUUGAUGGCUAUGACUGGUAAGUGACAAUUUUGUGGUAUUUUCUAAGAUUCACAAGCGUCAUGGUACUUGUGUCCAAACUUAUGGCCAUGGCUGUACGAUGGUGGAGGUCAGAACGAUGGGGCGGUACUCAGGAGAACGGUUCUUCUCCACAACUAUGAUGGUGGAGGUCAGAUUGAUGGUACUCAGGGGAACGGUUCUUCUCCACAGCUAUGAUGGUGGAGGUUUGAAGCAUCUGGAGACAACAGCCUGACUCCAGGAGAUGUUGGAGAUGUCUGAGGACACCUGUAGCUCCUCUGCACCGUCCUUCAGUUCCUGACCACGUCUGAAUGUUUCCCUGCUGGUCUCAGGACGGUACAUGAUGCCUUCAGGGACCGUCUGAAGUUAAAAAUGUGACGAUGGAUUCCGUCUGGACAGAUUCUGAUGAACGGUGUCAGUUCUUCUCAGCAGGGUUCUGGUUUCAGAGGGUUAAACGUGUUAAAAACAGAACAGGAUGGGGGUUCUUAAUAAACUGGACAUGUUGAACUAAAACUAACUGAACUCAGAAUAAACUCACAUUCUGGCCCCUCCCACU